rnacentral:tRNA from 1 species
AGAGUUUUAAGUUAAAAAAACUGUGAGUUUUCAAGACUCAUAAUAAAUGAAAUUGUUUAGAUUCUG